rnacentral:rRNA from 1 species
GGGAACCCGCACAAGCGGUGGAGUAUGUUGUUUAAUUCGAGGAUACACGAAGAACCUUACCAGGUCUUGACAUACCAUUGGCCGUCUAGAGAUAGAAUUUUCCCGUUUCGGGGACAAUGGAUACAGGUGGUGCAUGGUUGUCGUCAGCUCGUGCCGUGAGGUGUUGGGUUAAGUCCCGCAACGAGCGCAACCCUUUAUCGAUAGUUGCUAAUAUUAAGUUAAGGACUCUAUUGAGACUGCCAGCGACAAGCUGGAGGAAGGUGGGGAUGACGUCAAAUCAUCAUGCCCUUUAUGACCUGGGCUACAAACGUACUACAAUGGCCAAAUACAAAGAGAUGCGAAGCCGCGAGGUGGAGCGAACCUCAUAAAAAUGGUCUCAGUUCGGAUUGGAGUCUGCAACUCGACUCCAUGAAGUCGGAAUCGCUAGUAAUCGCGAGUCAGCAGAUCGCGGUGAAUACGUUCCCGGGUUUU